GAUGAAGAACGUAGCGAAAUACGAUAAGUAAUGUGAAUUGCAGAAUUCAGUGAAUCAUCGAAUCUUUGAACGCACAUUGCGCCCCUUGGUAUUCCGAGGGGCAUGCCUGUUCGAGCGUCAUUAUAACCCCUCAAGCUUAGCUUGGUGUUGGGGCUUGCUGUAAUAGAGCAGCCCUUAAAAUCAGUGGCGGUGCCAUUAGGCUCUAAGCGUAGUAAUUCUUCUCGCUAUAGGGUUCUGGUGGAUGCUUGCCAUUAACCUCUAAUUUUCUAUGGUUGACCUCGGAUCAGGUAGGGAUACCCGCUGAACUUAAGCAUAUCAAUAAGCGGAGGA
rnacentral:misc_RNA from 1 species